ensembl:snRNA U6 U6 spliceosomal RNA
GUGCUCGCUUCGGCAGUACAUAAACUAAAAUUGGAAUGAUAUAGAGAAGAUUAGCAUGGCCCCUACACAAAAAGGACACGCAAAUUUGUGAAGUGUUCCACAUUUUU